CAGAUGAACGCUAGCGGCAGGCUAAUACAUGCAAGUCGGACGGAAGUUUGAGGGAGCUUGCUCCUUUGAUUGAGAGUGGCGCACGGGUGCGUAACACGUAUGUAACCUACCCGUAUCAGGGGGAUAGCCUCUCGAAAGAGAGAUUAAGCCCGCAUAAAGUGGCAUCACCAAAUAGGGGGACCUUUAGGCCUUUAGGAUACGGAUGGGCAUGCGGAACAUUAGCUAGUUGGUGUGGUAACGGCAUACCAAGGCUACGAUGUUUAGGGGAUCUGAGAGGAUGACCCCCCACACUGGUACUGAGACACGGACCAGACUCCUACGGGAGGCAGCAGUAAGGAAUAUUGGUCAAUGGGCGGAAGCCUGAACCAGCCAUGCCGCGUGCAGGAAGACGGCCUACGGGUUGUAAACUGCUUUUGUACCGGAAUAACCUACUUAGGCUAAUAUCCUAAGUAGCUGAAUGUACGGUAAGAAUAAGGAUCGGCUAACUCCGUGCCAGCAGCCGCGGUAAUACGGAGGAUCCAAUCGUUAUCCGGAUUUAUUGGGUUUAAAGGGUGCGUAGGCGGCUUAUUAAGUCAGGGGUGAAAGACGGUAGCUCAACUAUCGCAGUGCCCUUGAUACUGAUGAGCUUGAAUGUACUUGAAGUAGGCGGAAUGUGACAAGUAGCGGUGAAAUGCAUAGAUAUGUCACAGAACACCGAUUGCGAAGGCAGCUUACUAAAGUAUGAUUGACGCUGAGGCACGAAAGCGUGGGGAUCAAACAGGAUUAGAUACCCUGGUAGUCCACGCCCUAAACGAUGAACACUCGAUGUUGGCGCCUAUACGGGGUCAGCGUCUAAGCGAAAGCGUUAAGUGUUCCACCUGGGGAGUACGCCCGCAAGGGUGAAACUCAAAGGAAUUGACGGGGGCCCGCACAAGCGGAGGAGCAUGUGGUUUAAUUCGAUGAUACGCGAGGAACCUUACCCGGGCUUGAAAGUUAGUGAAUGAUCCAGAGACGGAUCAGUGCCUUCGGGAACACGAAACUAGGUGCUGCAUGGCUGUCGUCAGCUCGUGCCGUGAGGUGUUGGGUUAAGUCCCGCAACGAGCGCAACCCCUAUGUUUAGUUGCCAGCAUGUAAUGUGGGGACUCUAAACAGACUGCCUACGACAAGUAGGAGGAAGGAGGGGACGACGUCAAGUCAUCAUGGCCCUUACGUCCGGGGCUACACACGUGCUACAAUGGGCAGUACAGAGGGCAGCAACCUGGCAACAGGAAGCCAAUCUCAAAAAGCUGUUCACAGUUCGGAUUGAGGUCUGCAACUCGACCUCAUGAAGUUGGAU
rnacentral:rRNA from 1 species